AACGAACGCUGGCGGCAUGCCUAACACAUGCAAGUCGAACGAGACCUUCGGGUCUAGUGGCGCACGGGUGCGUAACGCGUGGGAACCUGCCCUUAGGUUCGGAAUAACUCCCCGAAAGGGGUGCUAAUACCGGAUAACGUCUUCGGACCAAAGAUUUAUCGCCUUUGGAUGGGCCCGCGUUGGAUUAGCUAGUUGGUAGGGUAAAAGCCUACCAAGGCGACGAUCCAUAGCUGGUCUGAGAGGAUGAUCAGCCACACUGGGACUGAGACACGGCCCAGACUCCUACGGGAGGCAGCAGUGGGGAAUAUUGGACAAUGGGCGAAAGCCUGAUCCAGCAAUGCCGCGUGAGUGAUGAAGGCCUUAGGGUUGUAAAGCUCCUUUACCCGGGAUGAUAAUGACAGUACCGGGAGAAUAAGCUCCGGCUAACUCCGUG
rnacentral:rRNA from 1 species